rnacentral:rRNA from 1 species
CCUACGGGAGGCAGCAGUGAGGAAUAUUGGUCAAUGGCCGAGAGUCUGAACCAGCCAAGUCGCGUGAGGGAAGAAUGUCCUAUGGAUUGUAAACCUCUUUUGUCAGGGAGCAAAGUCACCCACGUGUGGGAGUUGGAGAGUACCUGAAGAAAAAGCAUCGGCUAACUCCGUGCCAGCAGCCGCGGUAAUACGGAGGAUGCGAGCGUUAUCCGGAUUUAUUGGGUUUAAAGGGUGCGUAGGCGGGUUAUCAAGUCAGCGGUAAAAUCGUGGGGCUCAACUCCAUCCAGCCGUUGAAACUGAUGAUCUUGAGUGGGCGAGAGGUAUGCGGAAUGCGUGGUGUAGCGGUGAAAUGCAUAGAUAUCACGAAGAACUCCGAUUGCGAAGGCAGCAUACCGGCGCCCGACUGACGCUGAGGCACGAAAGCGUGGGUAUCGAACAGGAUUAGAUACCCGUGUAGUC